ACCUGGCUGGUUCAGUUUGAAGAGCGUGAGACUCCUGAUCUUGGGGUCGUGAGUUCGAGCCCCAUGCUGGGUG
rnacentral:tRNA from 1 species